AUGGCAUUACACCACCCUUUCACAGCACCACAUGUGGCUCGGGUGUUCCUCGACAACAUCGUCAAGCUCCACGGUGUGCCGGACUCUAUCGUCUCUGACCGCGACAAGAUCUUCACGAGCGCUUUCUGGAGAGAAUUGUUCGCACUCGUCGGCACUAAGCUGCUAUACACCACGGCGUAUCAUCCGCAGACAGAUGGGCAGAGCGAGCGUGUCAAUCAGUGUUUGGAGCAUUACUUACGUUGUGCCAUCCAUGACACACCGCACCGCUGGAAGCGCUGGCUGCCCAUGGCAGAAUUCUGGUACAAUUCCAGCCAUCAUAGUGCCUUGGGGUGUACUCCAUUCAAGGCUCUUUAUGGAGUGGAACCAAAUUUUGGAGCUCUACCCAACCUCUUCACUGUCAAGACACCAGACUCCAUCCUGGAACUGGCCGCUGAGCAUCAACAAUUCACUGAAAUGCUCAAAGCACACCUCCUGCGUGCCCAGCAACGCAUGAAGCAUCACGCGGACCGCAAACGUACUGAGCGGGAAUUCAGCGUGGGUGCACAAGUCCUCUUGAAGUUACAGCCA
rnacentral:rRNA from 1 species